GACGAACGCUGGCGGCGUGCUUAACACAUGCAAGUCGAACGAAGUGGCGAACGGGUGAGUAACGCGUAAUCAACCUGCCCUUCAGAGGGGGACAACAGUUGGAAACGACUGCUAAUACCGCAUACUGAAGGAGGGGAUUGCGUCUGAUUGGCUAGUUGGAGGGGUAACGGCCCACCAAGGCGAUGAUCAGUAGCCCGGUCGAGAGGGUGGACGGGCACAUUGGGACUGGGAAACCGGCCCAACUCCUACCGGAAGCAGGAGGGGGGAAUCGUUCCAAAUGGGCGAAAGUCUGACGGAGCAACGCCGCGUGAGUGAUGACGGCCUUCGGGUUGUAAAGCUCUGUUAAUCGGGACGCGGUACCGGAAUAGAAAGCCACGGCUAACUACGUGCCAGCAGCCGCGGUAAUUC
rnacentral:rRNA from 1 species